rnacentral:rRNA from 1 species
GUGGGGAAUAUUGGACAAUGGGCGAAAGCCUGAUCCAGCCAUGCCGCGUGAGUGAUGAAGGCCUUAGGGUUGUAAAGCUCUUUCAGUGGGGAAGAUAAUGACGGUACCCACAGAAGAAGCCCCGGCUAACUUCGUGCCAGCAGCCGCGGUAAUACGAAGGGGGCUAGCGUUGUUCGGAUUUACUGGGCGUAAAGCGCACGUAGGCGGAUCGUUAAGUCGGGGGUGAAAUCCUGGAGCUCAACUCCAGAACUGCCUUCGAUACUGGCGAUCUUGAGUCCGGAAGAGGUGAGUGGAACUCCUAGUGUAGAGGUGGAAUUCGUAGAUAUUAGGAAGAACACCAGUGGCGAAGGCGGCUCACUGGUCCGGUACUGACGCUGAGGUGCGAAAGCGUGGGGAGCAAACAGGAUUAGAAACCCCAGUAGUCC